rnacentral:lncRNA from 1 species
GAGCACGAUCCUUCACAACCAAAGCUUGCAGUGAGAUCUAGUGAUGAAGAGGAAGCAAGGCUGAGGAUUUAUAGGUCUGAAAAUCAACCAAGGUAGUUGAAAUUCAGAUCUUAAUUUUUUAGAAGAAAAUAGAAAUUCCUUUAGUGAUGGCUGGGUUUUGAUUUCUGCAGCAUUUCAGAUUGAAUCAGGGGUGAAUUUUGAAUGGGAUAGAGCUUCUAUUUAUAGAGGAAAUGGUAAGGAGAAGGUGAUAAAAGCCGUGUGCAUGAGAUUGGACAAUCCUUGCAUGGGCUUGCAUGAUCAUGCACAAGG